rnacentral:lncRNA from 1 species
UAGAAUAUACAACAGCUUGUAUAAAAACUGAAUAUUAAUUAUUAGAUUGGUUCUUACUAGCUCUGGUUAAACGAUUUUGGUCUGUAGCAUUUGUAAUUUGAAUUACUUUUACCAGGAAGAGCUGAGGUGCUCAUUGUCUGCAGGAUACUUUUAGACCAUCAGUCCCAUCUUCCAUUGACCCUUGAUUCACUUGGCAGUGAUAGCAGAAAACCAAAAGCAAUUGGUUUCUUAAGAAAAAGCCCUCCUCUUGUGAGGUAAAAUGUUUAGGAUUGUACUUGUAUUUUGUUAUCAAAUCAACAUGAAGUUUAUUUUUAAUUUUUAAAAAUUUAAGCCUUUUUUUGAUCCCAGAAAGAUUAUUCUGUUGGAGAUUUGUAACAAGUUGAUAACCAUAAAAAUAGGUAAUAAUGAACCUUCAAUGGUAUCCAUGUGUCAGAAUUUAAUACAUAUUAUUUUUCUUAGCCUUAUAAUGGUAUUACAGUUGUUUGGCAGAUUGAGCACCUGAGGUUCAUUCAGUCUCAGUAACUUGUCCAGGGUUAUGCAUCCAGGUAGUAUUAGGAGAAGAUUUGAAAUCAAGUGUAUUUUAUUCCAGAGUAUCCACUCUCUUAGUUUAUGUUUGUAUGAAUGUGUGCUAAUACUACAGAACAGUAGAGUUUGGGAUAAAUAUUGUUUAUUGGUACAUGGGGGAGGCAAGUAGAAUUCCACUGAUUACUAAAAAUUAUAAUGUGAUCGAAUUUUAGCAACAUCAGGAAGUUGAGGGGAGCUUAAACACUUAAUCAGCUUAUUCUAGUAGAAGGCACUCAGGUAAGCCUAUGAUCCUAUCCCAUUGUCCCCCCUCCCCCCCAAAGAAAGUUAAUUUUCUUCAAAUGUGUUUGAGAAAAAAGAAUCAUAUAUAAACUAUUAUUUUUACUCUUGCCCGUGUUUACUUUUAGUGCUUUCAUUCAUUCAAAAACAUUUAUUGAUGAAAUGAACUCCACAAUGAACUAUGGACCUCACUAGGUGUUAGAGAAAAGUAGUAAAGUCCCUGGCUUUUUAAGAGUUCAUAAUCUUGGGAAGACAGAAACAGGCAGUUACGGUUGAGUGUAAAAAGGUAUAUAAAUAGGGCUGGGGUUGUGGCUCAGUGGCAGGAGCACUUGCUUAGCAUGUGUGAGGCACUAGGUUCGAUCCUCAGUAUUGCAUAUAAAAUAAAGUAACGGUCCAUUGACAACUAAAAAAGUAAUUUUAAAAAAGGUAUUUAAACAGAUGUACGAGUAUUUUGGAAGAGCUAAUGGAGGAAAGGUGGAACAUUUUUGGUACACUGGAGUGAGAGAAAUGCUACAAAAUUUUUUAAACUACAGUUCUUUGGAAGUUCAGUUGAAGAUGUGGCUAAAUUUAUUUCAUCUCUAUUCUUAUCAAUAUCUCUCCUUCCUAUAUUACUUUGAAGUAAAUUUCACAUCAUUUCUUUCAUAAAUAUUUCAGUAUUUAUUUCUCAAAGACAAGGACUUUUUGAAAAAACCAUACCAUUAUCACAACUUUAAAAAAUAAAUAAUUUGGGAUGAACUCAAUUUGAAGGAUGAAUAAAAUGUUCAGUAGGUGGCUGAGGAAAGAGGAAAGGCAGGGAGAUGUGAAAAUGUUCAGAGACUUAUUCUUUGGGGUGCAAAUAAUGCCUGUGGUGAGAAAUAAAAUUGGCAAAAUGGGCAAGGCCCAAAACAUAAAAGCCCUUGAAUAUAUUCCGUGUGAAGACUUAUUAAACGGUUUUAAGCAGGUUACUAAUAACAUGUUUAGAUUUAUAGUUUAAGAAAGUAAUGGCAAUGUUGAAAUGAGAAACACAAGCACAUUUGGGGACUUGGGGUUGUAGCUCAGUGGUAGAGCGCUUGCCUUGCACCUAUGAGGCACUGGGUUCAAUCUCAGCACUACAUAAAAAUAAAGUAAAAUGAAGGUAUUUUAAAAAAAGAGUACAUUUGGGGAGGUUAUUUAGUCCAGUUAAGGAACAGAUGAUAAU